CUGUCUGCAAACACUACUCCUCCUUAAAUUUUAGUCUGAUUUCAAUAUAACUUGGCAAACAAGUAGACUAUACAUAAUUCUGUGCAUCAGUCUUUGAUAAGUACAAACCAGUAGAGCUACAGUCUCGACAGAGACCUCUGGUUAUUUUUCUUCCAUCCCGGUUGUUGCUAAUGCUAUUACAUAAUUAGUUUAAAUUAGAAUGCAAUAGUACCUGGACAUAAUUUAUCAUUUCAGAGAGAAGAAAACUGUGUGACGUUAAAAGAAACCAGUGAGAUAAAAUCAUAGAAAAUGUAUGAUGAUUCAGGAUUUGUGACAUUAAAACAGGAAUUGUCAUCACCAACAGACGAAUUUCACAUUCCUAAGAGUUUUCUCCAAUUGUCGGCGUAUCGCUCAUUUUUUCCACUUUGUCCUUUGUCCUGUUCUGUGGAUGCCCUCAGACAGUGUCUACCCAUCACUCCAUGUGACCUUGGACUAAUUUUCUAGGUCAAAGAUCAUAGGUGAUGUGAAGAAAACCAGGAAACUGAUGUUGAAAGAAGUACUUAAUGACCCUUAUGAAUGGACUUGAAUGUGAAAGACUGUCUAUUGUUUA